UACGUAGGGUGCGAGCGUUGUCCGGAAUUAUUGGGCGUAAAGGGCUCGUAGGCGGUUUGUCGCGUCGGGAGUGAAAUCCACUGGCUUAACUGGUGGCUUGCUUUCGAUACGGGCAGACUGGAGGUAUGCAGGGGAGAACGGAAUUCCUGGUGUAGCGGUGAAAUGCGCAGAUAUCAGGAGGAACACCGGUGGCGAAGGCAGUUCUCUGGGCAUGUCCUGACGCUGAGGAGUGAAAGUGUGGGGAGCGAACAGG
rnacentral:rRNA from 1 species